AACGAACGCUGGCGGCAUGCCUAACACAUGCAAGUCGAACGAGACCUUCGGGUCUAGUGGCGCACGGGUGCGUAACGCGUGGGAAUCUACCCUCAGGUUCGGAAUAACUCAGAGAAAUUUGAGCUAAUACCGGAUGAUGACGUAAGCCCAAAGAUUUAUCGCCUGAGGAUGAGCCCGCGUAGGAUUAGGUAGUUGGUGAGGUAAAGGCUCACCAAGCCGACGAUCCUUAGCUGGUCUGAGAGGAUGAUCAGCCACACUGGGACUGAGACACGGCCCAGACUCCUACGGGAGGCAGCAGUGGGGAAUAUUGGACAAUGGGCGAAAGCCUGAUCCAGCAAUGCCGCGUGAGUGAUGAAGGCCUUAGGGUUGUAAAGCUCUUUUACCCGGGAUGAUAAUGACAGUACCGGGAGAAUAAGCUCCGGCUAACUCCGUG
rnacentral:rRNA from 1 species